CAACUCAUAACCUGUUUCACCACUAAUAACAUGUGUUUUUCCUCUCCAAGUUAGCACUCUAUUAUUGUAUCACUGAUUUUUUUUUUCAUUAUGUUCUCUUAUUUGUGUGCGAGUGCAAGAGAGAGCUAUUACGCACUUCUUCUCCUUCAUUACUCGAACCUAAGCACACUCUCAACUCAGGCACUUCAUCUUCUCCACCUCCAUUGAAGCCCGUCUGCGCUGACGUCCAUCUUCUUCUUCGAUUCUCAUAUCUACAACGACAAUCUCACACGAAGGGAUGGGACACCGCUAUUGAACCUUCUCUUCGACGACCACCAAUUUCAGCGGCGGCGAAGGCUGACAUGUGAAAAAUAACAGCAAGAAUUUUAGAUUUGUGGAAUUGCGACACAAAUUGGAUUGUGCUUGAAACUAUUCGAGGGUUCGAGGGUGUGGUUUUGAUCAACUAAAAUUCUAGAAGGAUUGAAGGUGAUUGGUGAUGGUGAGGAUCUAAUAAGGGAGAGCAUCAAGUAUGUUAGGGGAUCAGAGAGUAGAAUGAUAAAAUUUCAACAAUGCAUUGAGCAAGUUCGGGACAUUGAUUCAAAAAGUCCUUUUUGUUUAGAUGUUUCAAUAAGAUGGAAUUCAACGUUCUUGAUGCUUUAAAGUGCCCUUCAAUAACAACGAGUGUUUGGAAGUCCACAUUUUGAUGAAAUUAAAAAGCACAGACUUCAAGUUGUUGUAAAAAUGGGAAGGAAUCAAGUAGACGUAUAUUUGGAUUAGCCAAUAUUAGAUCUCGACUUCACAAACCCUAUGGAUGUUCUUGCAUGGUGGAGGACUCAUAAUGAACGUUUUACAGAUUUGGCAUUGAUGGCAAGGGAUUUGCUAAGUAUCGCAAUCACUACAAUUGCAUCUGAAUCUUCAUUCAACAUUGGAUCAAGAUUUUUAAAUAUGUAUAGAAAUCGACUAUUUCUAGAAUGUGUUGAAGCACUUAUUUGUAUUCAAGUUAUAAGCAUGCCUUUUGUGAAGAUGAUGAAGUACAUGACACACACAUGGAACAUUGGAGGGAGCUUCUUCCAUGGGUGCUUCUAAUACUCUUGGCAUUGGAGAACAAGAUGACUUCUGAUUAAAUUUCUUAAUGAUGUAAUUGUGCACUGUUUAUGAUGACAACCCGUUUGAUGCAUCUCGUUUUGCUUGUAAUUGUGGUGUAGUAUUUAUGAUGUUAAAUAUCUAGUUUAUGUUGGUUGGAUUUAAAUUAAAAGGCAUAAUAGAACCUUCACUUUUUGUGGUGUUGUUGGAUUA